UACGACUACAUAUCAGGCAUAUCAAUAAGCGGAGGAAAAGAAACUAACUAGGAUUCCCUCAGUAACGGCGAGUGAAGCGGGAAGAGCUCAAAUUUGAAAUCUUCAAGGUUUUACCUUGACGAAUAUGUAGUUUAAAGAAGUGUUUUCUGUUGAAGUUUUGGUAAAAGUUCUUUGGAAUAGGACAUCAUAGAGGGUGAGAAUCCCGUAUUUGACCAUUAUUUUCAGCUGUGUGAUACACUUUCAAAGAGUCGGAUUGUUUGGGAAUGCAGUCCAAGAUGGGUGGUAAAUUUCAUCUAAAGCUAAAUAUUGGCGAGAGACCGAUAGCGAACAAGUACCGUGAGGGAAAGAUGAAAAGAACUUUGAAAAGAGAGUUAAACAGUACGUGAAAUUGUCAAAAGGGAAGCGUUUGACACCAUGUGUUGUUUCUACGAAAAUCAAUUAUGAAUGGCUUGAUUCUAAGCUUUAAGACUUUAUCCGCUUGUUGUUUAGUUUUCUUGUCUUUGUGAAUGCACUUUUCGUGGAACAAGUCAACAUCAAUUUCUUUUGCUGUAAAAGGGUAAGAGGAAGGUGGCUUCGGCUUCGGUUGAAGUGUUUAUAGCCUUUUAUCUCUGCAGUCGGAGAGAUUGAGGUCUGCAGCGUAGACUCUUCGGGGUUAGAUACGUCGGUGCUAAGCUAUAGCUUUUCAUAGACAACUUGUUGACUAUGUUUAGUCAUGUGGCUUACCCGCUGGCGCUAUUUUACCUACGCUUAGGAUGUUGAGCGCAUGUCUCUCUC
rnacentral:rRNA from 1 species